GACGUAGGGCGCGAGCGUUGUCCGGAUUUAUUGGGCGUAAAGAGCUCGUAGGCGGCUUGUCGCGUCGUCCGUGAAAACUUGGGGCUCAACCCCAAGCUUGCGGUCGAUACGGGCAGGCUAGAGUUCGGUAGGGGAGACUGGAAGUCCUGGUGUAGCGGUGAAAUGCGUAGAUAUCUGGAGGAACACCGGUGGCGAAAGCGACUCACUGGACCGACACUGACGCUGAGGUGCGAAAGCUAGGGUAGCAAACGGG
rnacentral:rRNA from 1 species